AGCAGGAAAGCCGGGAGCUUGGACUGGACCCCCGUGCAGACUGGGCUGACGGUGCCCCCCUGCUCCCCACCCGCAGGCCUGUCCUCCGUGUCCACACCCCUGGGGACCCGAGGCCGCGGCGCCCCUCUGGCUCCCUCCACUUGACCAUCAAACCGGCCACUCCCCCAGGGAACAUGUCAAGUGUCAACUGAGUGUUCGCCGCGCACGCGCGAGGCAUCCUCCUCACCGAACGCACAGUGGGCCUGUGAGGGGGGCGCAGGCUGGCCAAAGCGGAACAGUCCUUCGGGAUCACCCUGUACAAACUGUAUGGAAAACAUACCAGAAACUAGAAUGAAAACAAAAGACUUAAAAAGUCCCUGAGGUAUGCGUCACCAUGGAGGCCGGGGAGAAGCCAAGAGGAACGAAUGGAUGAAGGCAUUGUGGAUUUUGUAAAUGUUUCUCAUCUGGCCUUUAAAAAACCCAUGGAAGUUGGAAAACCCAAGGCAUCGGUGGCAUAUGGUGGCCUUUGCUGAGAGUCCUGGGCCUGGAACUCCUGAUCUAGUGGGAAUGAAUGCUGCUUUCAGAAGCAAAAUGACAUACAGACCCUUUCUUCUGA